GGCGUCGUUAGUGCAGUGAGUUGGAGCACGCGCCUCUCGUAUAGAGUUGAAUGUGGGUUCGAGUCCCGACUGAUGUCA